AAGCAAACAGGCUGUGUUUGCUUCAAUAUAUUGCAUUAAUUGAAUCUCCUGUGGAAGCCAAUAUUUGUCAGAGGAAGUAUACUGCACACACACACACACACACACACACACACACACACACACACACACACACAGUAUAUCCCAGUUACACAGUGUGUGUCCGUGGUCAAGGAGAAGACGGACGUACAAACUUCUCUUUGCUCCACGGAGCUAGACACAGUCACACCUUCUUGUGAGACAUACAACAUCUUUCUGUGGAUUAUGUGCCUUGCUCAAAGGCGGUUUCCCCGUGGAUUAUUCUUCAGGGUUAUUUCUGGUAUUUAAACUAAAAGUCUCCUGGAGCAGCAAACUCUGCAGCUACUCCCUGCAAAGAAGAAUUAAGGAGUUUUCUCCAUGAGAUGCACUGAAGAGAGACAGUGUCUGUGUGUGUGGGAGGGUAACAUGAGGAAUCCAGUGACUGUACUGACAACCCUGUUAUCUGUGGAGUUUGUGCUGUACACAAUGAGUCUCUGUGCGCCUCAGUGGCUGGUUCAGACUGAGGGGGCCAGCGAGGGACUCUUUGCCCUCUGCAGCGCCUACGAAGGCUUCUCCAGCUGCACCACGUUUCCAGCCUGGCUGGGCAGCUACAGUUUGUCCUGGAUGUUCCUGUCUGCUUCCAGUCUGCUGUCUCUGGCUGCUGCGAUCACAGUCCGGCCGGCUCUGACCCGAGGAAGGAAAGCCCUCGCUGCUCUGCUGCUCAACAUCCUCUCUGUGGCUCUCUGUGCCAGCUCUCUGGUCGUCUUCUUGGUGUCCGUCGAGCAGCAGGAGCCCGAGCUGCUGCGCCACCUCGGCUGGACCUUCUACAUCUGCUGCGCCACCCUCUUCUACGCCUCGCUGGUGAGCGUCCUGCUGGGCGUCAUCCACGCUGACGGAGCCAGGGUCGAACCGGCCGUGAGAGGUGCAGCUGUGGAUCUGUGUGUGAUAACAGCCGGAUCAUAAUGUACAACAUGUCAUGUUUGUAUUGUCAAAAGGUUGCAGCUUUAAAUCCACAUGAUGAUGCAUGACCUUUAUAUGGCCUUCAGUAUGUUUCAUGUUUGUCUCUUUGCUCAGGAAUAUCAGGAGACUGUAUGUAGCUCUCUAACUUCUGAAUGUAUGCUGCACCUCCCUCUCUCACUGUUCUCGUGCUGCUGUAAAACUUCAUCUCCUGCUUGGAGUAACAAUAAAGUGUUAUCUUGAAAUACACAUAAAAACAUAAACUGACAUGUUCCUGCUCAUAUCAGGUGUUACAGUCGUCACCAUCUCUGCAUGCUGACAUGGCACUCCUGAUGUCAGAUAGAAAUAAUAAGCAAUAAAGCUCCAUAACAGAAUAAAACAGAUAAAUGAAUAAAAAGCAAGCCCAGCAGUUCUGAGCUUCCUGCACCGCUGCCACACCUCACACCGGCAGAGACAGCCAAGUGUUUCUGAGUCACAUCACACUUUUGAUUUAUGAGGAUCAGUAUGAAGAACUGAGAGAAAAGAAAAACUGCACUUCUAAAUAUUUCAUUCUUACCAACUGCAGAAGAAAGUAAACUGAAUGAAAAAUAAAUUCCUUAUUUCCCAAUGCGUGCCUAAACUCUUCAGGGACGUUACAGCUGCAUUUUAAAGGUUUUAUAUUGGAAGGUAGGUCCAUCUCGAUCACACAGCGCCCCCUGGUGGUUAAAGCAGCGACCUACAGUGAGCUUCAGCACAUGAAGCUUUUCUGUUGUACACGUUCAGGAACGAUGACGACUUGGAAUUAUACCGACCAAACCCCAUUCAAAUUGUGACUCAUUUAAUUCCAUUCUUA
ensembl:lncRNA